GACAGGUAUAGCUAUGGGGGUACACCUAGUUACAUUCCGAACCUAGAAGUUAAGCCCAUAUACGCUGAUGGUACUUGGCUGGAAGCGGCCUGGGAGAGUAUGGAUUUGCCAAGC
rnacentral:rRNA from 1 species